rnacentral:rRNA from 1 species
GACGAACGCUGGCGGCGUGCUUAACACAUGCAAGUCGAACGGAAAGGCCCUGCUUUUGUGGGGUGCUCGAGUGGCGAACGGGUGAGUGACACGUGAGUAACCUGCCCUUGACUUUGGGAUAACUUCAGGAAACUGGGGCUAAUAUCGGAUAGGAGCUCCUGCUGCAUGGUGGGGGUUGGAAAGUUUCGGCGGUUGGGGAUGGACUCGCGGCUUAUCAGCUUGUUGGUGGGGUAGUGGCUUACCAAGGCUUUGACGGGUAGCCGGCCUGGGAGGGUGACCGGCCACAUUGGGACUGAGAUACGGCCCAGACUCCUACGGGAGGCAGCAGUGGGGAAUAUUGCACAAUGGGCGGAAGCCUGAGGCAGCAACGCCGCGUGCGGGAUGACGGCCUUCGGGUUGUAAACCGCUUUCGCCUGUGACGAAGCGUGAGUGACGGUAAUGGGUAAAGAAGCACCGGCUAACUACGUG